CGCUGUGACCCUUCCUGUGAACCCUCCUGGUGCAGCCUGGAACCUGAGUCACCCUGAGGUAGCACCUCUUGUCCUGGGAGCCCUGGUUCCCGAGCAGACAGGAAGGACGACGGUGGUGCUGGUGGUGGCCCUUCGUCAUACAACCCCCGCAUGGCUCUCUGGGACACUACCAGGCUCAUCCCCAGAGAAGACAGCCACAGAGACACCAGCUUCUGGACAGGAGUGGCAGAGGGAGAUCUGAACCUGGCAGCUGCCUUUGGAGCCCCAGAACCGUGGACUCGGAGCUACAGCUACACGGCAGAGACUUUGUAUGUGGAGGCUGACCCUGGCAAGGGUCAGGCAGACGUGGAGGAACCGUGGAGACUGGGGUAGAAUGGUGAGCAUAUAUCCUGUCUGAAGGGACACUGCUGCUCAGAAAUCAGAAAUUUCUGAUUUCUGCCAAUGAGGAAUACAGGCCCAAGCUACCAGGUUAGUAAUCCUUUUAGUUCCAGAA